GGUUCGGUAGCUCAGAAGGAUAGAGCACUAGCCUGUCACGCUAGGGGUCGUGGGUUCAAUUCCCAUCCGAAUCG
rnacentral:tRNA from 1 species